rnacentral:tRNA from 1 species
AGGGUUAAAUGAUAGUUUAAUUUAGAAUAAUAAUUUGUGGUAUUAAAGGUGAAAUUUGUUUCUCUUAACCC